CAUUCCUGCUGCAGCGCUCUUCCAAUCUCAAUUAUGCGGAGCCAUACUUUGCGCCUGCACCAAACUGUGCCUAUUCAUGUACUGUGACUAAAUUAGAGCACCAAGCAUAGGAAUUGUCGAAAAAGAUAAACAAUAUGAAAUAUUGCGAUAUUUCGAUUUUAGUUAUGAAUAAAUUUAUUAAAGGACCUGUCCAAUU